AGAGUUUGAUCCUGGCUCAGGAUGAACGCUGGCGGCGUGCCUAAUACAUGCAAGUCGAACGCGGGCACAUGUGCCCGAGUGGCGAACGGGUGAGUAAUACAUAAGUAACCUGGCCUUUACAGGGGGAUAACUGCUGGAAACGGUAGCUAAGACCGCAUAGGUACGGACACUGCAUGGUGACCGUAUUAAAAGUGCUGCAAGGCACUGGUAGAGGAUGGACUUAUGGCGCAUUAGCUGGUUGGUGAGGUAACGGCUCACCAAGGCGACGAUGCGUAGCCGACCUGAGAGGGUGACCGGCCACACUGGGACUGAGACACGGCCCAGACUCCUACGGGAGGCAGCAGUAGGGAAUUUUCGGCAAUGGGGGGAACCCUGACCGAGCAACGCCGCGUGAAGGAAGAAGGAAUUCGUUCUGUAAACUUCUGUUAUAAAGGAAGAAAGGCGGAUGAAGGAAAUGACAUCCGAGUGACGGUACUUUAUGAGAAAGCCACGGCUAACUACGUGCCAGCAGCCGCGGUAAUACGUAGGUGGCAAGCGUUAUCCGGAAUUAUUGGGCGUAAAGAGGGAGCAGGCGGCAGCAAAGGUCUGUGGUGAAAGACUGAAGCUUAACUUCAGUAAGCCAUAGAAACCAGGCAGCUAGAGUGCAGGAGAGGAUCGUGGAAUUCCAUGUGUAGCGGUGAAAUGCGUAGAUAUAUGGAGGAACACCAGUGGCGAAGGCGACGAUCUGGCCUGUAACUGACGCUCAGUCCCGAAAGCGUGGGGAGCAAAUAGGAUUAGAUACCCUAGUAGUCCACGCCGUAAACGAUGAGUACUAAGUGUUGGAAGUCAAAUUUCAGUGCUGCAGUUAACGCAGUAAGUACUCCGCCUGAGUAGUACGUUCGCAAGAAUGAAACUCAAAGGAAUUGACGGGGGCCCGCACAAGCGGUGGAGCAUGUGGUUUAA
rnacentral:rRNA from 1 species